GUGGGGAAUAUUGGACAAUGGGCGAAAGCCUGAUCCAGCCAUGCCGCGUGUGUGAAGAAGGUCUUCGGAUUGUAAAGCACUUUAAGUUGGGAGGAAGGGCAGUAAGUUAAUACCUUGCUGUUUUGACGUUACCGACAGAAUAAGCACCGGCUAACUUCGUGCCAGCAGCCGCGGUAAUACGAAGGGUGCAAGCGUUAAUCGGAAUUACUGGGCGUAAAGCGUGCGCAGGCGGUUUUGUAAGUUGGAGGUGAAAUCCCCGGGCUCAACCUGGGAACUGCCUCCAAAACUGCAUGACUAGAGUACGGUAGAGGGUAGUGGAAUUUCCUGUGUAGCGGUGAAAUGCGUAGAUAUAGGAAGGAACACCAGUGGCGAAGGCGACUACCUGGACUGAUACUGACACUGAGGUGCGAAAGCGUGGGGAGCAAACAGGAUUAGAAACCCCAGUAGUCC
rnacentral:rRNA from 1 species